rnacentral:rRNA from 1 species
AUUGAACGCUGGCGGCAGGCCUAACACCUGCAAGUCGAACGAGUGGCGGACGGGUGAGUAAUGUCUGGGAAACUGCCUGAUGGAGGGGGAUAACUACUGGAAACGGUAGCUAAUACCGCCUACCAUCUGAUGUGCCCCGAUGGGAUUAGCUUGUGGGUGGGGUAACGGCUCCCCAAGGCGACGAUCCCUAGCUGGUCUGAGAGGAUGACCAGCCACACUGGAACUGAGACACGGUCAAGACUCCUACGGGAGGCAGCAGUGGGGAAUAUUGCACAAUGGGCGCAAGCCUGAUGCAGCCAUGCCGCGUGUAUGAAGAAGGCCUUCGGGUUGUAAAGUACUUUCAGCGGGGAGGCGUUACCCGCAGAAGAAGCACCGGCUAACUCCGUGCCAGCAGCCGCGGUAAUAC